GCUGGGUGUGGUGGCGCACGCCUGUAGUCCCAGCUACUCGGGAGGCUGAGGCAGGAGAAUUGCUUGAACCAGGGAGGCAGAGAUUGCAGUGAGCUGAGAUCGUGCCACUGCGCUCUAGCCUGGCAACAAAGCAAGACUCUGUCUCAA
rnacentral:sRNA from 1 species